UGGGGAAUAUUGGACAAUGGGCGAAAGCCUGAUCCAGCCAUGCCGCGUGUGUGAAGAAGGUCUUCGGAUUGUAAAGCACUUUAAGUUGGGAGGAAGGGCAGUAAGCGAAUACCUUGCUGUUUUGACGUUACCGACAGAAUAAGCACCGGCUAACUCUGUGCCAGCAGCCGCGGUAAUACAGAGGGUGCAAGCGUUAAUCGGAAUUACUGGGCGUAAAGCGCGCGUAGGUGGUUCGUUAAGUUGAAUGUGAAAGCCCCGGGCUUAACCUGGGAACUGCAUCCAAAACUGGCGAGCUAGAGUAGGGCAGAGGGUGGUGGAAUUUCCUGUGUAGCGGUGAAAUGCGUAGAUAUAGGAAGGAACACCAGUGGCGAAGGCGACCACCUGGGCUCAUACUGACACUGAGGUGCGAAAGCGUGGGGAGCAAACAGG
rnacentral:rRNA from 1 species